GACAAUCUGGGAUUCAACUGUCUUCUUAUUAAUAAUACAGAAUACAACACAGAUACAAACAAGGUAGUUCCGGUACGGACUACAAAACAAGGAAAAUGCUAUGCUACCCGCUGCAGGCCCACGAUCACGACCACGGCUCAGUCCUCCGGAUAGUUCACGUAAAGGCGGUCUGUCUCCUCGUCGUACUGCCACGCCAGCUGGGUGCCGUCGGGAUCAUCGGACU
rnacentral:lncRNA from 1 species